AAAUUUUUUGUCUUAAUAAUUUUCACCAACCUGUCUAGUUUCAUACUUAGUAAUACCCAAUAUCACUCAACAAUUUGUCUAUUGUCUACUCUGUAACGUGCUCAAGUUUCGGUGCCAGUAAAAAUGGCAAUAUGUUAUCCUGACAUAAGGCUCAGAAUAUCAUGUCAUAGCCAUCCAGUGUUGCCAGUGGAAAGAGAAAGUGAAAUCACAUAAUUAGGAUGUUCACGUAAUAUGAACGGUAUAAGCUCACUCUUUAUUAUGCCAGUUUAUGGCCUUUGGGAAGUUGUUGUUGAUACUAUGUAGAAUGCAAACAUUUCAUUUAUGUGACGUGUUUGGUGAAUCAGUUACAUAAAGAUGAAGAAAAAAGUUUUUUGACCAUAAGUAUUUUGCACACAGUUUGUUUGGUCCUUAUAUGCCUUUUGCUUUUAAUAUAUUUGAAUAUGUAUCUUUGUGAAAUUUGGUAUUCUGUGUUGUUUAUCGACCUCCUUUUAACAGCUAAAAUUAGGGUCUUAGGAAAUAUGAUAAUAGUAAAAUUUUUUUUGAAUCCAUUUUAUCAUGCUGCUAGGAACACAGCAUGCCAAUUUUAAAUUCAUUCUUUAAAUUUGUCCUAUAGUUUUCAUUGUUGUCGCAGUAAUAAAGCUGUUCAAUAAUCACUACACUAAAAUCUAGGUAAUCACGGUCAAACAUUAGGCACAUGUUAUAGACUUUGGAAGUUGCAACUACCUACUUGCAAUAAAGCACACAGCAUCAAUGUUGCAGUUUGUUUUAUGAUUGCAAAUAUAAAUUAAGUAAUUUACACAUAAUCUUUUUGGAUUAGUAGCCAAAUACAACCCAAGUCAGUUUUAUAUAAGAGUUUUGGAGAACCACAAAAAGAAAGUAUAAAGUUUGGUGGAAUGGAUUAAUUCCAAACUAAACAAAAAACUUUCCUGAUCACAACCAUGAAGGUUGGUAGCUAAAAUAUUAAAGAAAUUACUUUAACAUUCAUAUACAUGUGGCUAAAAGCACUACAACUUAAGGUUUAACUGCCUUGGAAGUGUUUUUUUUUUACAUAAUUCUUAGUGUAUUAGAGGGACUAAAAACAAAAAUUAUUAUCAAAGGAAAUCAAAUUAAUGUAAUUUAAUUGUGUUACCUGACUCUUAAGUCAUUACCACGUACAAAUAUGGGUACUAGAAUUUUGUACUAAGUGUGUCAAGUUGGACAGCUUUUGGUUUCUCAAGCUGAUUUUCUUUUUAUAUUGUAUAAAACUACUUCUAAAAAUCCCUCCCUCUAAAAAUCAAAAAACCUCAAUGACUUUUUGAGAAAACUCUUACAUUUUUAUCUAUUUGUGAAAAUUGUAAUUGAUUUUUGUGGAAUAUCCAUCUUCCGCAUCAGCUAAUGCAGAAAUCAAAUCGGGUAUCCCAUUUGUAUCCCUUGUUCAAUUCCUUUGGCAUUCUUGAUUUUACAUAAAAAGAAAUGAGGCAAAUGAGAAAAGUUUGUAUUGGAAUUAAUUUGUGAAGCCUGUAAGAGUUGUCUGUCUUGUCUGCCUAAUACCUAAAUUAAUAACUUGUAUUUGGAAACUUAAAGAAUAACACCCUUUAUGCAAAGCAGAUUUAUUUUUAAAAACUAGGAUUUAACAACGUAUUAACUAAAUGUUUAGCAGUUAAUUGAAAAUAAUUAAUGUAUGAUGAUAAUUGCAUUCGUAUAGUCAUAAAUGCAGAAACGUUUGGAUAAAUAAAGUGUUUCAUAUAAGAUGUCCUUUUAUAAGAAAUGCUGAAAGAUUAUUUAUCAAAAUAUAUAUAUUUUUAAGAAGAGUUUUAUUAAGUUUCACUUGCUUUUAUCGUUAGGGCAAUCAUCUUGUUUCUCUUUCUCUUCAGCUUCUGUAAUAUUACCCUCAUGGCACUUCUGAAAGAGAAUUUAUUUAAGCAUUCAAAACCUAAAUACCUUACAAUAUAUUUUUUAUGAUCCUGCUCUUAGCUUUAAAAGAACAGCAGCAAACUAGAGGAAGAUGUCUAAAAAAUCGAAAUUAUCUCGUACAUCAAGCCAUCAAAAUUAACUCAACUGCGACUUAUAAAUAUUUCCGCACGGUUGUAUAGACCAAAACUUUAACAUGGGUAAGAACUUGCACCUAAUAUACAAGAAAAUAAAGCAAGAAAGUAUCGAAAAUACGAUUAUUGGAAGCAUCUAGAUCCUGCUUAACGAAGGAAGAAGUGUCAUUUUACCAAUGUUAGGUUGUGUUAAAAUUUAACUGUUAUAAAACAAUAACUGAGAUUGACUGAUCGAGAACAAUUGAUGGAAGACUAGCAGUAAUAUCGGAUCUUUAAAUAUAUAAUCACACUGUCCGUCCUUUUGUUUACAUAACUUACUAAAAUAUUGUGAAUACAUAUAUAUAUAUUUGUAUGUAUUGGGUUUUAUUAUCAGCACACGCUAUGAAAGCAGUAAAUUAAUACUGAACUGUAAUUCAUUUACCCUAAUAUUUACUAUAAAUCCUUA